rnacentral:rRNA from 1 species
GAUGAACGCUGGCGGCGUGCUUAACACAUGCAAGUCGAACGGAAAGGCUCCUGCUUGCAGGGGUACUCGAGUGGCGAACGGGUGAGUAACACGUGGGUGAUCUGCCCUGCACUUCGGGAUAAGCCUGGGAAACUGGGUCUAAUACCGGAUAGGACGAUGGUUUGGAUGCCAUUGUGGAAAGUUUUUUCGGUGUGGGAUGAGCUCGCGGCCUAUCAGCUUGUUGGUGGGGUAAUGGCCUACCAAGGCGUCGACGGGUAGCCGGCCUGAGAGGGUGUACGGCCACAUUGGGACUGAGAUACGGCCCAGACUCCUACGGGAGGCAGCAGUGGGGAAUAUUGCACAAUGGGCACAAGCCUGAUGCAGCGACGCCGCGUGGGGGAUGACGGCCUUCGGGUUGUAAACUCCUUUCGCUAGGGACGAAGCGCAAGUGACGGUACCUGGAGAAGAAGCACCGGCUAACUACGUG